AGUCCGAGUUGUAAUUUGCAGAGGGCGCUUUGGUGUUGGCAGCGGUCCAAGUUCUUUGGAACAGGACGUCACAGAGGGUGAGAAUCCCGUACGUGGUCGCUAGCCCUCACCGUGUAAAGCCCCUUCGACGAGUCGAGUUGUUUGGGAAUGCAGCUCUAAAUGGGAGGUAAAUUUCUUCUAAAGCUAAAUACUGGCCAGAGACCGAUAGCGCACAAGUAGAGUGAUCGAAAGAUGAAAAGCACUUUGGAAAGAGAGUCAAAUAGCACGUGAAAUUGUUGAAAGGGAAGCGCUUGCAGCCAGACUUGCCUGUAGUUGCUUAUCCGGACUUUUGUCCGGUGCACUCUUCUGCGGGCAGGCCAGCAUCAGUUUGGGCGGUUGGAUAAAGGUCUCUGUCAUGUACCUCCUUUCGGGGAGGCCUUAUAGGGGAGACGACAUGCAACCAGCCUGGACUGAGGUCCGCGCAUCUGCUAGGAUGCUGGCGUAAUGGCUGUAAGCGGCCCGUCUUGAAACACGGACCAAGGAGUCUAACAUCUAUGCGAGUGUUUGGGUGUCAAGCCCAGACGCGUAAUGAAAGUGAACGGAGGUGGGAACCCUUUGGGUGCACCAUCGACCGAUCCUGAUGUCUUCGGAUGGAUUUGAGUAAGAGCAUGGCUGUUGGGACCCGAAAGAUGGUGAACUAUGCUUGAAUAGGGUGAAGCCAGAGGAAACUCUGGUGGAGGCUCGCAGCGGUU
rnacentral:rRNA from 1 species